GUUGGGAGCGUAGUCCUGGUAGGCUAGCGCACAGGGGUGACACGGAAUGGGAGCCGGCCGCGGAGGUGGUUUUCCGUGGUCAAGCACGCAGCCCGUCCCAUAGGCAAAUCCGUGGGACGCAUAGGGUGAGGUGUGAUGAUGGGCGUCCUUUGGACGCGAUAUCCGGUGGUCCAGGCCGUCGAGAAAAGCCUCGGCGCGAGGGGCGUCGCCGCCCGUACCCCAAACCGACACUGGUGGUCAGGUAGAGAAUACCAAGGCGAUCGAGCGAAUCCUGGUCAAGGAACUCGGCAAAUCACUCCCGUGCCUUCGGUAUAAGGGAGACCCCCGGGCGUGAAGAGGCUUGCCCUCGGAGCGUUGGGGGGUGGCACAGACCAGGGGGUAGCGACUGUUUACCAAAAACACAGGUGCAUGCGAAGGCGCAAGCCGCUGUAUAUGCACUGACGCCUGCCCGGUGCCGGAAGGUUAAGAGGAUCCGUCAGCCCCUUUUGGGGUGAAGCGGUGAAUUCAAGCCCCGGUAAACGGCGGUGGUAACUAUAACCAUCCUAAGGUAGCGAAAUUCCUUGUCGGGUAAGUUCCGACCUGCACGAAUGGCGUAACGACUUCCCCACUGUCUCGACCAGGAGCUCGGCGAAAUUGCAGUACGAGUAAAGAUGCUCGUUAAGCGCAGAAGGACGAAAAGACCCCGGGACCUUUACUAUACCUUGGUAUUGGCGUUAGGCGCGGAUUGUGUAGCAUAGGCGGGAGGCUUCGAAGCAUGGGCGCCAGCCCGUGUGGAGCCGCAAGGUGAAAUACCGCUCUGUUCUCGUUUGACGUCUCACCUCGAACAGUCAUCCUGUUCAGGGACAGUGCCUGGCGGGUAGUUUAACUGGGGCGGUUGCCUCCCAAAGAGUAACGGAGGCGCUCAAAGGUCCGCUCAGCCCGGUUGGCAAUCGGGUUUCGAGUGUAAUCGCACAAGCGGGCUUGACUGCGAGAACGACGGUUCGGGCAGGGACGAAAGUCGGAGAUAGUGAUCCGGUGCCGGCGCACGGGCGCGGCAUCGCUCAACGGAUAAAAGGUACCCCGGGGAUAACAGGCUGAUCAUUCCCAAGAGUCCAUAUCGACGGGAUGGUUUGGCACCUCGAUGUCGGCUCGUCGCAUCCUGGGGCUGGAGCAGGUCCCAAGGGUUCGGCUGUUCGCCGAUUAAAGCGGCACGCGAGCUGGGUUCAGAACGUCGUGAGACAGUUUGGUCUCUAUCCUCUGCGCUCGUUGGAAUCCUGAGGAGGCCUGCCCAUAGUACGAGAGGACCUGGGUGGACGGACCUCUGGUAUGCCGGUUGUCGCGCCAGCGGCAUGGCCGGUUGGCUACGUUCGGGAGGGAUAACCGCUGAAAGCAUCUAAGCGGGAAGCCUGCUCCAAGAUUAGGAUUCCUUG
rnacentral:rRNA from 1 species